AGAGUUUGAUCCUGGCUCAGGACGAACGCUGGCGGCGUGCCUAAUACAUGCAAGUCGAGCGCGGGAAGCAAGCUGAUCCUCUUCGGAGGUGACGCUUGUGGAACGAGCGGCGGACGGGUGAGUAACACGUGGGCAACCUGCCUGUAAGACUGGGAUAACCCCGGGAAACCGGGGCUAAUACCGGAUAAUACUUUUCAUCACCUGAUGGAAAGUUGAAAGGUGGCUUUUAGCUACCACUUACAGAUGGGCCCGCGGCGCAUUAGCUAGUUGGUGAGGUAACGGCUCACCAAGGCAACGAUGCGUAGCCGACCUGAGAGGGUGAUCGGCCACACUGGGACUGAGACACGGCCCAGACUCCUACGGGAGGCAGCAGUAGGGAAUCUUCCGCAAUGGACGAAAGUCUGACGGAGCAACGCCGCGUGAGUGAUGAAGGUUUUCGGAUCGUAAAGCUCUGUUGUUAGGGAAGAACAAGUGCCGUUCGAAUAGGGCGGCACCUUGACGGUACCUAACCAGAAAGCCCCGGCUAACUACGUGCCAGCAGCCGCGGUAAUACGUAGGGGGCAAGCGUUGUCCGGAAUUAUUGGGCGUAAAGCGCGCGCAGGCGGUCCUUUAAGUCUGAUGUGAAAGCCCACGGCUCAACCGUGGAGGGUCAUUGGAAACUGGAGGACUUGAGUACAGAAGAGGAGAGUGGAAUUCCACGUGUAGCGGUGAAAUGCGUAGAGAUGUGGAGGAACACCAGUGGCGAAGGCGACUCUCUGGUCUGUAACUGACGCUGAGGCGCGAAAGCGUGGGGAGCGAACAGGAUUAGAUACCCUGGUAGUCCACGCCGUAAACGAUGAGUGCUAGGUGUUUAGGGGGUUUCCGCCCCUUAGUGCUGAAGUUAACGCAUUAAGCACUCCGCCUGGGGAGUACGGCCGCAAGGCUGAAACUCAAAAGAAUUGACGGGGGCCCGCACAAGCGGUGGAGCAUGUGGUUUAAUUCGACGCAACGCGAAGAACCUUACCAGGUCUUGACAUCCUCUGCAAUCGGUAGAGAUACCGAGUUCCCUUCGGGGACAGAGUGACAGGUGGUGCAUGGUUGUCGUCAGCUCGUGUCGUGAGAUGUUGGGUUAAGUCCCGCAACGAGCGCAACCCUUGAUCUUAGUUGCCAGCAUUUAGUUGGGCACUCUAAGGUGACUGCCGGUGACAAACCGGAGGAAGGUGGGGAUGACGUCAAAUCAUCAUGCCCCUUAUGACCUGGGCUACACACGUGCUACAAUGGAUGGAACAAAGGGAAGCAAAACCGCGAGGUCAAGCAAAUCCCAUAAAACCAUUCUCAGUUCGGAUUGCAGGCUGCAACUCGCCUGCAUGAAGCCGGAAUCGCUAGUAAUCGCGGAUCAGCAUGCCGCGGUGAAUACGUUCCCGGGCCUUGUACACACCGCCCGUCACACCACGAGAGUUGGUAACACCCGAAGUCGGUGAGGUAACCUUUUGGAGCCAGCCGCCGAAGGUGGGACCAAUGAUUGGGGUGAAGUCGUAACAAGGUAACC
rnacentral:rRNA from 1 species